UGGGGAAUAUUGCACAAUGGGCGCAAGCCUGAUGCAGCCAUGCCGCGUGUGUGAAGAAUGCCUUCGGGUUGUAAAGCACUUUCAGCGGGGAGGAAGGCGGUGAGGUUAAUAACCUCAUCGAUUGACGUUACCCGCAGAAGAAGCACCGGCUAACUCCGUGCCAGCAGCCGCGGUAAUACGGAGGGUGCAAGCGUUAAUCGGAAUUACUGGGCGUAAAGCGCACGCAGGCGGUCUGUCAAGUCGGAUGUGAAAUCCCCGGGCUCAACCUGGGAACUGCAAUAGAGACUGGCAGGGUAGAGUCUUGUAGAGGGGGGUAGAAUUCCAGGUGUAGCGGUGAAAUGCGUAGAGAUAUGGAGGAAUACCGGUGGCGAAGGCGGCCCCCUGGACAAAGACUGACGCUCAGGUGCGAAAGCGUGGGGAGCAAACAGG
rnacentral:rRNA from 1 species